UAUUACAAUAACAUAUUAACUUCAAAUCUCUGAAAUGCUUCUGAAGUGUUUAGACACAAAGCGGACUUUGUUCUCUGUGUUCCUGAUUGUCUGCUCACCUGGGCUUCUUAUUCAUUUUGUCCUUGAGACAGCGGACUCCAGGCCACUCUUCUCCAUGGCGCUUUUCUCCAUGUAAGCAUAGAUGUCCCCGUGGGCGAAGGCCACUAGCCACCACAUGAUAGCGAAGAGCAGCCAGCUGCAGAGGAAGGACAUGGUGAAGAUGACCAGCGUGUGACGCCACUUCAGGUCUACCAAGGUGGUGAAGAUGUCCUGCAGGAAGCGACCUUGCUCUCGGAUGUUCUUGUGUGCCAAGUUGCAGGCUCCGCUCUUGGCGAUGAAGCGGGCUUUGGGGAGGCGGUCGCGGAUGCGCGGCUUGCGCAGGUUCUCUGCUGCGAUGCGCGCCAGCACAUACUCCUCCGGGAUGAUGCUUUUCCUGGCCAACAUCUUUCUUUCACCAUAGCCCGCCUAUGCACCUGCCCGAACCUGUGGCUCCUUUCCUCCACACGCGUCCUCCUAGACUAGAGAAAUGCUUAUUAAAAACUGUCAACCUCAUUUCCUUUUCUCAGGUAUUUAUACAAAGGGAUGCCGUUUUACACACAUAUUUAAUUAAAGAUGUGAU